AGGUCAUUUCAAAGAGGGCUUAUGAGACCAAAACCAGGAGCUCUUAAUGCGGUGACCAAAGAUUGAAGUUCUCCAUAGAAUAUAACAGUCAUUCAACAGUGCUAUGUUUUCCUGAGGAAUAAUAAGA
rnacentral:snoRNA from 1 species